rnacentral:misc_RNA from 1 species
CCAAACUUGGUCAUUUAGAGGAAGUAAAAGUCGUAACAAGGUCUCCGUUGGUGAACCAGCGGAGGGAUCAUUAAAGAGUUAUAACAACUCCCAAACCCCUGUGAACAUACCUCAUGUUGCCUCGGCAGGUCGCGCCUCGGUGCCCUGCCGGCGGCCCACGAAACUCUGUUUAGCAUUAAAUUCUGAACUUAUAACUAAAUCAGUUAAAACUUUCAACAACGGAUCUCUUGGUUCUGGCAUCGAUGAAGAACGCAGC